rnacentral:rRNA from 1 species
CUAGCUUCAGCGAUGGAUCGGUCGAUUCGCGUAUCGAUGAAAAACGCAGCUAGCUGCGUUAUUUACCACGAAUUGCAGACGCUUAGAGUGGUGAAAUUUUGA